rnacentral:snRNA from 1 species
GUGCUGUCUUCGGCAGCACAUAUACUAAAAAUUAGAACGAUGCAGAGAAGAUUAGCAUGGCCCCUGCGCAAGGAUGACAGGCAAAUUCAUGAAGCGUUCCAUAUUUUU